UGGGGGAUAUUGCACAAUGGGCGAAAGCCUGAUGCAGCGACGCCGCGUGGGGGAUGAAGGCUUUCGGGUUGUAAACCUCUUUCGCUAUCGAACAAGGCCCGCUUAGGGUGGGUUGAGGGUAGGUGGAGAAGAAGCGCCGGCUAACUACGUGCCAGCAGCCGCGGUAAUACGUAGGGCGCGAGCGUUGUCCGGAAUUAUUGGGCGUAAAGGGCUUGUAGGCGGCUUGUUGCGCCUGCUGUGAAAACGCGGGGCUUAACUUCGCGCGUGCAGUGGGUACGGGCAGGCUUGAGUGUGGUAGGGGUGACUGGAAUUCCAGGUGUAGCGGUGGAAUGCGCAGAUAUCUGGAGGAACACCGAUGGCGAAGGCAGGUCACUGGGCCAUUACUGACGCUGAGGAGCGAAAGCAUGGGAAGCGAACAGG
rnacentral:rRNA from 1 species